rnacentral:sRNA from 1 species
GAUAAGCCGCGUUAGCGAUUGAAACGGCAUCCUUUUACGUUAGUAAAAGAUAUAGUGGAAAGCGCGACCGAAG